UCUCCGUAGGUGAACCUGCGGAGGGAUCAUUACACAUUUCUCGCCCUCGCGGGUAGAUCUCGCACCCCCUGUUACCGUUACCGUGUUGCUUUGGCGGGCCGCCGGGCCCCGCUCGGCCGCCGGCUCCGGCUGGCGCGCGCCCGCCCGAGGCCCAGCCCACUCUGGAUGUUAGUGUCGUCUGAGUACUAUAUAAUAGUUAAAACUUUCAACAACGGAUCUCUUGGUUCUG
rnacentral:misc_RNA from 1 species